AACGCACCUUGCACUCCUUGGUAUUCCGAGGAGUAUGCCUGUUUGAGUGUCAUGAAAUUCUCAACUGCCUUUUAGCAUUUUAUGUUAAGGUGAAGUUGGAGUUGGAGGAUAAUUGCUGGCGUGCAACUUAAGUUGCUUGUUAGCUCCUCCUAAAUAGAUGAGUUUUUCUAAUAGAUCAUGGCUCAGUAACACUAAUGUGAUAAUUAUUUACAUUAAAUGUGAAAGCUGUGAGUAGAGUAACUUCAAUUGUGGAGAAGCUCCUAUAGAAAAAGGGCAUGUCUUGGGGAUAAAUAAACCCUUGACUUAAAAUAUAAUGACAAAUCUGACCUCAAAUCAGGUAGGACUACCCGCUGAACUUAA
rnacentral:misc_RNA from 2 species